ACUCAAAUGAAUAGACGGGGGCCCGCACAAGCGGUGGAGCAUGUGGUUCAAUUCGACGCAACGCGCAGAACCUUACCAACCCUUGACAUGCCCGACGCGGCCUCGAGAGAUCGGGGCCUUCGGUUCGGCCGGUCGGUGCACAGGUGCUGCAUGGCUGUCGUCAGCUCGUGUCGUGAGAUGUUGGGUUAAGUCCCGCAACGAGCGCAACCCUCGUCUUCAGUUGCCAUCAUUUAGUUGGGCACUCUGGAGAGACUGCCGGUGACAAGCCGGAGGAAGGUGGGGAUGACGUCAAGUCCUCAUGGCCCUUACGGGUUGGGCUACACACGUGCUACAAUGGCGGUAACAGUGGGCAGCAAAGGCGCAAGCCGGAGCUAAUCUCAAAAAGCCGUCUCAGUUCGGAUUGCACUCUGCAACUCGAGUGCAUGAAGUUGGAAUCGCUAGUAAUCGCGCAACAGCAUGGCGCGGUGAAUACGUUCCCGGGCCUUGUACACACCGCCCGU
rnacentral:rRNA from 1 species